UUCAAAGUGACAUUGGUUGAAGCAUCAAAAUAGACUAUGAAUUCUCACUUCCUUUUCUUUUUUUUUUUCUUUUUCUUUCUUCCACUUUUUAUUUGGCUGACUUGAUGCCAUGGUGUGGACAGGACUUUGGGGUUUAUCAGCAAACAGGUGGCGACAGAAUGGAAGGACAGAUUUAAGGGCAUAAAGGCAGAGGCAACUGUGGUGAGGAAAAACCUUGGGAACUAGACUUAAAAUGGUGUCUAUCUUCAUCACCUAGAAAUCCUAGCAUUUUAGAGACUCCAUGGUCUCAUUUCUAUGGAUUUUGUAAUGCACCUACCUGCCUGCUACAUCAGUUUCUCUGGUGAUUGUGCUUCGGUUUUGCUUCAAGGUAUUCUGGACUUUAUUGAACACCACUGUUCACCUCUCCUCAAACCAAUAGCUGAAACAACAAGCUUGAAGAACACCAGCUUAGUCUUCCAGGUGUCCCGCCCAUGUGCUCCAGAGGCUUCUGGGAGUCUACCAAUCAGAGCGUGUGAAGGGGUUGAAUGGAUGACGUGGAGAAAACAUCAGAAGCACCAAAUUCAAUGGCACAAAUAUUUCAGAUGUAUACGAAUUGUUAGUUUUGAAAAAAAUUGGCUUCAAAAAUCCUGGAAGUGUGCAAACGAAAAUGAAAUGCAUUGUUUAAAAUGAAUUAACGCAAAA